rnacentral:rRNA from 1 species
AUGAACGCUAGCUACAGGCUUAACACCUGCAAGUCGCGGGGAAACGACAUCGAAAGCUUGCUUUUGAUGGGCGUCGACCGGCGCACGGGUGAGUAACGCGUAUCCAACCUGCCCAUCACUUGGGAAUAACCUUGCGAAAGUAAGACUAAUACCCAAUGAUAUCCCACGAAGGCAUCGGAAUGGGAUUAAAGAUUUAUCGGUGAUGGAUGGGGAUGCGUCUGAUUAGCUUGUUGGCGGGGUAACGGCCCACCAAGGCAACGAUCAGUAGGGGUUCUGAGAGGAAGGUCCCCCACAUUGGAACUGAGACACGGUCCAAACUCCUACGGGAGGCAGCAGUGAGGAAUAUUGGGCAAUGGGCGAGAGCCUGAACCAGCCAAGUAGCGUGCAGGAAGACGGCCCUAUGGGUUGUAAACUGCUUUUAUAAGGGAAUAAAGUGGGUCACGUGUGACUUUUUGCAUGUACCUUAUGAAUAAGGACCGGCUAAUUCCGUG